CCUAUUUUAUUUUGAGUUUUGUAUUAAUCUAACCUCAUAUUGUUCCUAAUCUUUACUUUUUUGAAAAAAUUAGGAUUGUAUUGGAGCUAUUGAUGGUACUCAUGGAAGAGCAUAUGUUCCUAAGAACAUUGAGCAUGCCUUUUGUGGACAAUGGAGGAAGUAGCUGAAGGGCGGGGGGCAAUUAGUGGGCAUGCUACAUGGACAUCAGCAAUGUCUGCUUUAAUGCUCUUUCACCUUAAUGAUUUGGUGGUUGCUGGUUUGAAUACAUCAAAGGACUUUAAGAAACACCUUUACAAUGGUUGUGCUAGGGCUAUUAAUGAGAAGUUCAACACUAGGAUCACUAGUGAACAAGUCAAGAAUCAUUUGAAAACAUGGCAGAAAAGGUAUGCAAAGAUAAAUAGAUUGAAGAAGUUGAGUGCUGCCCUCUUUGAUGAAGAUAACUGCAUGAUUACACUUGAUGAGGAGCACUACAACAGCCAUGUCCAUGUAAACUUACCAUCUUUGCUCAGUUCUUGAUUAAUUGGGUUACAAUGUUCA